AAUAGAUACCCAGGUAGUCCACGCCGUAAACGAUGAGUGCUAAGUGUUAGAGGGUUUCCGCCCUUUAGUGCUGCAGCAAACGCAUUAAGCACUCCGCCUGGGGAGUACGGUCGCAAGACUGAAACUCAAAGGAAUUGACGGGGGCCCGCACAAGCGGUGGAGCAUGUGGUUUAAUUCGAAGCAACGCGAAGAACCUUACCAGGUCUUGACAUCCUCUGACAACCCUAGAGAUAGGGCUUCCCCUUCGGGGGCAGAGUGACAGGUGGUGCAUGGUUGUCGUCAGCUCGUGUCGUGAGAUGUUGGGUUAAGUCCCGCAACGAGCGCAACCCUUGAUCUUAGUUGCCAGCAUUCAGUUGGGCACUCUAAGGUGACUGCCGGUGACAAACCGGAGGAAGGUGGGGAUGACGUCAAAUCAUCAUGCCCCUUAUGACCUGGGCUACACACGUGCUACAAUGGGCAGAACAAAGGGCAGCGAAGCCGCGAGGCUAAGCCAAUCCCGACAAAUCUGUUCUCAGUUCGGAUCG
rnacentral:rRNA from 1 species